GACGAACGCUGGCGGCGUGCUUAACACAUGCAAGUCGAACGGAAAGGCCCUGCUUUUGUGGGGUGCUCGAGUGGCGAACGGGUGAGUAACACGUGAGUAACCUGCCCUUGACUUUGGGAUAACUUCAGGAAACUGGGGCUAAUACCGGAUAGGAGCUCCUGCUGCAUGGUGGGGGUUGGAAAGUUUCGGCGGUUGGGGAUGGACUCGCGGCUUAUCAGCUUGUUGGUGGGGUAGUGGCUUACCAAGGCUUUGACGGGUAGCCGGCCUGAGAGGGUGACCGGCAACAUUGGGACGGAGAUACGGCCCAGACUCCUACGGGAGGCAGCAGUGGGGAAGAUUGAACAAUGGGCGGAAGCCUGAUGCAGCAACGCCGCGUGCGGGAUGACGGCCUUCGGGUUGUAAACCGCUUUCGCCUGUGACGAAGCGUGAGUGACGGUAAUGGGUAAAGAAGCACCGGCUAACUACGUG
rnacentral:rRNA from 1 species